rnacentral:rRNA from 2 species
UGCAGUCGAACGAUGAUUAUCUAGCUUGCUAGAUAUGAUUAGUGGCGGACGGGUGAGUAACAUUUAGGAAUCUGCCUAGUAGUGGGGGAUAGCUCGGGGAAACUCGAAUUAAUACCGCAUACGACCUACGGGUGAAAGGGGGCGCAAGCUCUUGCUAUUAGAUGAGCCUAAAUCAGAUUAGCUAGUUGGUGGGGUAAAGGCCCACCAAGGCGACGAUCUGUAACUGGUCUGAGAGGAUGAUCAGUCACACCGGAACUGAGACACGGUCCGGACUCCUACGGGAGGCAGCAGUGGGGAAUAUUGGACAAUGGGGGCAACCCUGAUCCAGCCAUGCCGCGUGUGUGAAGAAGGCCUUUUGGUUGUAAAGCACUUUAAGCAGGGAGGAGAGGCUAAUGGUUAAUACCCAUUAGAUUAGACGUUACCUGCAGAAUAAGCACCGGCUAACUCUGUGCCAGCAGCCGCGGUAAUACAGAGGGUGCGAGCGUUAAUCGGAAUUACUGGGCGUAAAGCGAGUGUAGGUGGCUCAUUAAGUCACAUGUGAAAUCCCCGGGCUUAACCUGGGAACUGCAUGUGAUACUGGUGGUGCUAGAAUAUGUGAGAGGGAAGUAGAAUUCCAGGUGUAGCGGUGAAAUGCGUAGAGAUCUGGAGGAAUACCGAUGGCGAAGGCAGCUUCCUGGCAUAAUAUUGACACUGAGAUUCGAAAGCGUGGGUAGCAAACAGGAUUAGAUACCCUGGUAGUCCACGCCGUAAACGAUGUCUACUAGCCGUUGGGGUCCUUGAGACUUUAGUGGCGCAGUUAACGCGAUAAGUAGACCGCCUGGGGAGUACGGCCGCAAGGUUAAAACUCAAAUGAAUUGACGGGGGCCCGCACAAGCGGUGGAGCAUGUGGUUUAAUUCGAUGCAACGCGAAGAACCUUACCUGGUCUUGACAUAGUGAGAAUCCUGCAGAGAUGCGGGAGUGCCUUCGGGAAUUCACAUACAGGUGCUGCAUGGCUGUCGUCAGCUCGUGUCGUGAGAUGUUGGGUUAAGUCCCGCAACGAGCGCAACCCUUUUCCUUAUUUGCCAGCGGGUUAAGCCGGGAACUUUAAGGAUACUGCCAGUGACAAACUGGAGGAAGGCGGGGACGACGUCAAGUCAUCAUGGCCCUUACGACCAGGGCUACACACGUGCUACAAUGGUAGGUACAGAGGGUUGCUACACAGCGAUGUGAUGCUAAUCUCAAAAAGCCUAUCGUAGUCCGGAUUGGAGUCUGCAACUCGACUCCAUGAAGUCGGAAUCGCUAGUAAUCGCAGAUCAGAAUGCUGCGGUGAAUACGUUCCCGGGCCUUGUACACACCGCCCGUCACACCAUGGGAGUCUAUUGCACCAGAAGUAGGUAGCCUAACGCAAGA